rnacentral:rRNA from 1 species
AGCGAACGUUAGCGGCGGGCCUAACACAUGCAAGUCGAGCGAGAAAGGGGCUUCGGCCCCGAGUAAAGCGGCGGACGGGUGAGUAACACGUAGGUAAUCUUCCUUCGAGCGGGGGACAACGGUCCGAAAGGACCGCUAAUACCGCAUACGUUUCUCGGGACCUCGGUCCUGGGAAGGAAAGCUAGGUAGCAAUAUCCGGCACUCGAUGAGGAGCCUGCGUCGCAUCAGCUAGUUGGUGGGGUAAUGGCCUACCAAGGCGAAGACGCGUAGCUGGUCUGAGAGGAUGAUCAGCCACACUGGGACUGAGACACGGCCCAGACUCCUACGGGAGGCAGCAGUGGGGAAUCUUGCGCAAUGGGCGAAAGCCUGACGCAGCGACGCCGCGUGAGGGAUGACGGCCU